rnacentral:rRNA from 1 species
UUCCAGACUCCUACGGGAGGCAGCAGUGAGGAAUAUUGGUCAAUGGGCGCGAGCCUGAACCAGCCAAGUCGCGUGAGGGAUGACGGCCCUACGGGUUGUAAACCUCUUUUGUCGGGGAGCAAAUUCCGCCACGUGUGGCGGAGUCGAGAGUACCCGAAGAAAAAGCAUCGGCUAACUCCGUGCCAGCAGCCGCGGUAAUACGGAGGAUGCGAGCGUUAUCCGGAUUUAUUGGGUUUAAAGGGUGCGUAGGUGGUUAAUUAAGUCAGCGGUGAAAGUUUGUGGCUCAACCAUAAAAUUGCCGUUGAAACUGGUUGACUUGAGUAUAUUUGAGGUAGGCGGAAUGCGUGGUGUAGCGGUGAAAUGCAUAGAUAUCACGCAGAACUCCGAUUGCGAAGGCAGCUUACUAAACUAUAACUGACACUGAAGCACGAAAGCGUGGGGAUCAAACAGGAUUAGAUACCCCGGUACA